rnacentral:rRNA from 1 species
AUACGUAGGGUGCGAGCGUUAAUCGGAAUUACUGGGCGUAAAGCGUGCGCAGGCGGUUUUGUAAGACAGCUGUGAAAUCCCCGGGCUUAACCUGGGAACUGCGGUUGUGACUGCGAGACUGGAGUGCGGCAGAGGGGGGUGGAAUUCCACGUGUAGCAGUGAAAUGCGUAGAGAUGUGGAGGAACACCGAUGGCGAAGGCAGCCCCCUGGGUCGACACUGACGCUCAUGCACGAAAGCGUGGGUAGCAAACAGGAUUAGAUACCCUGGUAGUCCACGCCCUAAACGAUGCCAACUAGGUGUUGGGGAAGGAGACUUCCUUAGUACCGUGGCUAACGCGUGAAGUUGGCCGCCUGGGGAGUACGGUCGCAAGAUUAAA